AACGAACGCUGGCGGCGUGCUUAACACAUGCAAGUCGAACGCGAAAGGGGGUAACUCCCGGUAGCGUGGCAGACGGGUGAGUAACACGUGGGUAACCUGCCCGGAGGUGGGGGAUAACCCUUCGAAAGGAGGGCUAAUACCGCAUGACAUCCUCGGGUUCUUGGAUCUGAGGAUCAAAGCUAGCCUCUGCUUGCAAGCUAGCGCCGACCGGAGGGGCCCGCGUCCCAUUAGCUAGUUGGUGAGGNGACGGCUCACCAAGGCUACGAUGGGUAGCCGGCCUGAGAGGGCGACCGGCCACACUGGAACUGAGACACGGUCCAGACUCCUACGGGAGGCAGCAGUGAGGAAUCUUGCGCAAUGGGCGAAAGCCUGACGCAGCGACGCCGCGUGGAGGAUGAAGGUCUUCGGAUUGUAAACUCCUGUCGAGUGGGACGAA
rnacentral:rRNA from 1 species